UUUCUCUGCGGUUUUGUUAUGAUUUCGCAUCCUUCGAUUUGCUUCGAUUGUGAUAAAAGAAAUCUCAUCGCGAUCGCGAGUGCGUUCAACCGUUGCUACCCGCGAAAAAAGUGGAAGCCGCUAUAUUGCAAAUUGGUCACUAGGCCGAUCGUCCCUGUGAACAAGUGUUCUUGAACCGUUUCUGGGAGCAGUACGUACAACAGGAACGAAUAAAUCGCUUGUUGGUCGGCGUAGAUGGCAUAAAAGAUCAACCUUUUUCCUGUCCCAGAUUGGCGCAGACGAGCUGCAAAGGACCGAGGGCCGCCAUGAACAACCCGCAGGUGAAACGUUACGCAUUUGAAGUGGGACUGGAUACGAUCGAUAAAUAUAUGGUCUAUGCGGAAAGUCCAGUGUCGAUUAACAAACUCCGUAGGAUGUUUUGGAUGUGCCCAAAUUGGCCUCUUGACGAUGCGCUGGUCCUCUGGAGGAAAGGGUUUUCCUUUGUCAGUACAGCAUACGAAACCUUCGGUGGAUUUUAGUUUUAUCGAAACAAGCGAAGAUGGAAAUAGAGUGAUCAUCCGACGUUCAAAUGAAGCUCCGUAGGAUGUUUUGGAUGUGCUCAUAUUGCCCUCUUGACGAUGCGCUUUAGGAACGAGCAUCAGCAGCAAAUGCAGUUGGUCUACUUCGUUCGUAGUUGUUUCCAGCAUCCUUGAGCCAAUUGUUUUGGCUAAAUUGAACGAAUGUCGCUGAAUAUAGCUAACCGACAGGAUGAUUAUUCUGCAAUGCCAACAGAUUGCUACGAUGCACACCAUCACCAUGGCCACCGGCUGGAUCCUGGGCUGAACUAGAAAAAAGGCCACCGUGCUGCUAGAGGUGCUGCUGCUUGCAUCUUCGGUGUAGAAAAAAUCCAAAAAUAAUGCAAUAAAAAGUAUAAGUUUA